rnacentral:rRNA from 1 species
UGCUGGCAGUGCGUCUUAAGCAUGCAAGUCAAACGGGAUGUAGCAAUACAUUUAGUGGCGAACGGGUGAGUAACGCGUGGAUGAUCUACCUACGAGAUGGGGAUAACUAUUAGAAAUAGUAGCUAAUACCGAAUAAAGUCAAUUAAUUUGUUAAUUGAUGAAAGGAAGCCUUUAAAGCUUCGCUUGUAGAUGAGUCUGCGUCUUAUUAGCUAGUUGGUAGGGUAAAUGCCUACCAAGGCGAUGAUAAGUAACCGGCCUGAGAGGGUGAACGUCACACUG